rnacentral:tRNA from 1 species
UCCUCGAUAGGAUAGUGGUGAGUAUCUCCGCCUGUCACGCGGAAGACCGGGGUUCAAUUCCCCGUCGGGGAG